GCUGAGCGCGGUGGUGCGCGCCUGUAGUCCCAGCCAUUAGGGAGGCUGAGCCAGGAGGAUAGCUUGAGCACAGGAGUUCUGGGCUGCAGUGCGUUAUGCCAAUCGGGUGUCUGCGCUAAGUUCGGCAUCAAUAUGGUGACCUCCUGGGAGCCGGGGACCACCAGGUUGCCUAAAGGAAGGGGUGAACCGGACCAGGUAGGAAAAUAUUUAGGCAUUAAUACAAUACAAUAAUACUUGUAAGUAUGUCUUAAACUUUCUAAAGAGGUGACAUUUAGACCUCU
rnacentral:sRNA from 1 species